GCAAACUUGGUCAUUUAGAGGAAGUAAAAGUCGUAACAAGGUCUCCGUAGGUGAACCUGCGGAGGGAUCAUUAACGGGUCCCCGCGUCAGAAGCGGACCUCCCACCCCUGUCGUUACUAUAGUUGUUGCCCCUGGUAGGUCCGAUCCGGGCCGACCGGGGCCCUAAACGCUACUAUGUAAGGUCGUCGGAGCUUAUCAGAAAUACAAAACUUUCAACAACGGAUCUCUUGGUUCUGGCAUCGAUGAAGAACGCAGC
rnacentral:misc_RNA from 1 species